AACUCAAGUGUAGGUACUUUCCCUUUAAAUCCAAGAUGGCGCACGACUUCUUCUUGCUCUGCAGCACCAGCACUCAGCACCGCCCCAAGCGGCGGGACGCGGCACCGCGGCGCUCAGCUGACACAUUAAUUAGUCGCUCUUCGUAAAGUCGUGUUUUUGUAAGUCGACACAAGGCUGUCAUCGACGACAACUCUUCCUCCCCUACGCUCGGGCUGCAGUCCUUCGCGCAGCCAGUCGGGGUCGGUCCUGCAUCGCCAGUCCAAGUCUUCAGAGCGCAGAAAUAAAAACCCUGUUUCUCCAAGAGACACCAUCUCUCCAACCAAUAAGCACCACGGGCCUUUCUAGAGAUUCCUUCAUUCCUCCAGAGAGACGUCCGAC